UGAACGCUGGCGGCAGGCCUAACACAUGCAAGUCGAGCGGAUGACGGGAGCUUGCUCCUUGAUUCAGCGGCGGACGGGUGAGUAAUGCCUAGGAAUCUGCCUGGUAGUGGGGGACAACGUUUCGAAAGGAACGCUAAUACCGCAUACGUCCUACGGGAGAAAGCAGGGGACCUUCGGGCCUUGCGCUAUCAGAUGAGCCUAGGUCGGAUUAGCUUGUUGGUGAGGUAAUGGCUCACCAAGGCGACGAUCCGUAACUGGUCUGAGAGGAUGAUCAGUCACACUGGAACUGAGACACGGUCCAGACUCCUACGGGAGGCAGCAGUGGGGAAUAUUGGACAAUGGGCGAAAGCCUGAUCCAGCCAUGCCGCGUGUGUGAAGAAGGUCUUCGGAUUGUAAAGCACUUUAAGUUGGGAGGAAGGGCAGUAAGUUAAUACCUUGCUGUUUUGACGUUACCGACAGAAUAAGCGCCGGCUAACUCUGUGCC
rnacentral:rRNA from 1 species